rnacentral:rRNA from 1 species
GCAAGUCGAACGGAAACGAUGGGAGCUUGCUCCCAGGCGUCGAGUGGCGGACGGGUGAGUAAUGCAUAGGAAUCUACCCAGUAGCGGGGGACAACUUGGGGAAACUCAAGCUAAUACCGCAUACGCCCUACGGGGGAAAGCAGGGGAUCUUCGGACCUUGCACUAUUGGAUGAGCCUAUGUCAGAUUAGCUUGUUGGUGGGGUAACGGCCUACCAAGGCAACGAUCCGUAGCUGGUCUGAGAGGAUGAUC